AACAGGAUUAGAUACCCUGGUAGUCCACGCCGUAAACGAUGUCGACUUGGAGGUUGUGCCCUUGAGGCGUGGCUUCCGGAGCUAACGCGUUAAGUCGACCGCCUGGGGAGUACGGCCGCAAGGUUAAAACUCAAAUGAAUUGACGGGGGCCCGCACAAGCGGUGGAGCAUGUGGUUUAAUUCGAUGCAACGCGAAGAACCUUACCUGGCCUUGACAUCCACGGAAUUUGGCAGAGAUGCCUUAGUGCCUUCGGGAACCGUGAGACAGGUGCUGCAUGGCUGUCGUCAGCUCGUGUUGUGAAAUGUUGGGUUAAGUCCCGCAACGAGCGCAACCCUUAUCCUUUGUUGCCAGCACGUAAUGGUGGGAACUCAAAGGAGACUGCCGGUGAUAAACCGGAGGAAGGUGGGGAUGACGUCAAGUCAUCAUGGCCCUUACGGCCAGGGCUACACACGUGCUACAAUGGCGCAUACAAAGAGAAGCGACCUCGCGAGAGCAAGCGGACCUCAUAAAGUGCGUCGUAGUCCGGAUCGGAGUCUGCAACUCGACUCCGUGAAGUCGGAAUCGCUAGUAAUCGUAGAUCAGAAUGCUACGGUGAAUACGUUCCCGGGCCUUGUACACACCGCCCGUCACACCAUGGGAGUGGGUUGCAAAAGAAGUAGGUAGCUUAACCUUCGGGAGGGCGCUUACCACUUUGUGAUUCAUGACUGGGGUGAAGUCGUAACAAGGUAACC
rnacentral:rRNA from 1 species